AUAUCAAUAAGCGGAGGAAAAGAAACCAACAGGGUUUGCCCCAGUAACGGCGAGUGAAGCGGCAAAAGCUCAAAUUUGAAAUCCUCAGGGAAUUGUAAUUUGAAGAUGUUUGGGUCAAGGCUAGCAGAGGUUAAGUCCACUGGAACGUGGCGCCACAGAGGGUGACAGCCCCGUGAACCUCCUAAAGCCCCUUACCCCAAACCUCCAAGAGUCGAGUUGUUAGGGAAUGCAGCCAAAGUGGGUGGUAAAUUCCAUCUAAAGCUAAAUACCGGCGAGAGACCGAUAGCGAACAAGUACAGUGAUGGAAAGAUGAAAAGCACUUUGAAAAGAGAGUGAAAAAGUACGUGAAAUUGUUGAAAGGGAAGGGCUUGCAAGCAGACACUUUAUUGGGCCAGCAUCGGGGCGGCAGGGAGAAAACCUCCCGGGAAAUGUACCUCUCGAGUGUUAUAGUCCCGGGCAUCCUCUCCCAUUCUGCCCCGAGGCCUGCGUAUCUAGGAUGCUGGCGUAAUGGUUGCA
rnacentral:rRNA from 1 species